UUAGCUCAGUUGGUUACCCCGAGUACUCGGGGUGACUCAUCAUCAGAGGGUCGCAGGUUCAAGCCCUGCAGGGCCCA
rnacentral:tRNA from 1 species